ensembl:lncRNA
GAAAAAACCUGUGUUAUAUCACAUGUUCAUCUACUGCCUGCAUUCCACCUCCUGCCGCAGGCGCUGCCGCUUCCCUGCAUGCCCCGGGAACUGCGGACUGUUCAGGUGCUGUGGGGCUACAAGGACAAUCUGAUCUGCUUCAGCUUCUUCUAUGCUCUUUGCUGGGUCACUUCUUAGGAAGAAGGUGGGUCAUCCCAUAUGAUUUCUUUCCCCUCCCUGCCUUGGCCACCAUGUCCACCCUGGGAAGGUGAUUGCCAUGGCCCAGAAUGACGUUUCUCCCUCUUAGCAAAGUGAGCUUGCAGCGCUGAGCCCCUCUCCCCAGACUGAGUGCUGUCAAAAUUGCUGCAUUCCAAAGGAGCCUCAUUCUACAGGUAUUUCCUUUCUGCUCUGCUAUGUGUCUGUGUAUCAGUUAGGAGGCUGAGAACAGCUGAGCAUCAGCGAUCUCCUUGUGCUGUGUUCCAUCCUGCGGCUCGUCGCUCCAUCACUGAGGUACAUUAUCCUACUCUCUAAACCAAGCAUGUGCCCAGGAGAUAAACCAAUUGUUUUUUUGUGCUGCUUUCUAUUUAGAUCCAUAGGCUUCAUUUCAGCUCUUUGGCAAUGCUUCUUCUAACCUUGCUGCAAGAAGUCCUUGUGGCCAAUGCAUCCUCCCUAACGAGGCUGACGGGCUGCUGGCGAAAGGUGCCAGAGGAUGGAAGCUGGCAUGCUGAGGGCUUCUGUCCUGCGGUGCAGGCUGCUGGGAUCUGCCUUCCAUUGUGCUACUGAAACAUCAUCAAAGCCAGGAAAUGGGAGUGCCAUUCCAGUGAAAACCUUUGCAGUGCUGCAGCAGAGAGCCUUAAAUUCAAAGCAGUACUUUAAAAAUCAGAACUAGAAGGCGCUGCAUUAGGCCAGUGAAUGAUUCCAGCUUACACUGCCCACACAUUUGGGAAGGCUGCUUCAUCACUUCACUGCUACAUUUGUCACCUGACACCUGAGGACAGGUCACUGGAUCACAGUUCCUUACUGCCCUGCAGCUGGGGAAGGAGUUUGCAGCCCUUCUGCUGAGAAGACAGGGCUGGGUCUGCAGCCAUUAAAAGGAGCAGAAGAAGAUUUCCUCGAAUUCCUGCAUUGCUGUGAGCUGACACAAGGGCACGGCGCUCCACGCAGCAACCACCAGAUGUGCAGUGCAGGGAUCUGCCAGAACAGCAGUGCCCUGGAAAUAUCUGACUGCACAAAAAUCAAAAGGAAAUUGGAGAUUGGCUUUGUUAAGGACACCUCCUGUUCUAUGGCACUGUCACUCAAUCGCUGUGUGGGAGUGCAUACAUUGUCUACAGGUGGUAGUGAGGAGGAGUCAAAGCUUCAGAGAGAGCUGCAGGAACAGCUGGACCUCAUAAGAGCUGCAAAAGAAGAUUCCCCAGCUAAAACAUGUCCAUGGAGAGCCAUAUGUGCAUAGCUGUUAGGAUUUUGGAAUCAGUGUGGUGGAAUGACAGGGAGAUGAUGGGAAAGUGAUUUCUUGAAACUUCAGCAUAUGCUUUUCAUUUGUGUGAGCUGGCACUGCCACGAGCCAGAGGAGGCUUGCAGCAAGCGGGGCCAUGCGGGACUGGCACCUGCUCGGCUGUGCUCGGGUGACUUCUGGACCUUCUGGUACUGUGAGUGAGCCGCACUUGAUGGAAAGAUGCUGAGCAUUUUUUCUUGACCCCAUGUCAUUGUGGAGUGGUUGCAGCUUGCUGUCACGGGCAGUCUUGUCUUGCAGAGAGCAGCAUAUCCCUGCAGAAAGAGAAAUGCUGUGGUAGCUCUAGAUGCAAGAGAAGCUUCAAGGAAAGUUUGCAUUUAAUUAUUGUUAGAAAUGUGCAGCAAAACAGAUUUCAUUGUUUUUAGCUCUUACAAAGCCAUAUGCCUAUGUCUCUGGGUUCCAAAACCACAUAACGAACAAAACAAAACAAACAAACAAAAGCAAGACCACAAGCAAGACCACAUAGCAGUAAUUAAAUGUCUCUGUUCCAGAAUAGGGUGCGUACUGUGAUCAAGACUGGCAGUAGCAGGGAAGCCAGGGUGCAUAGCUGAAGGAGGAGAGCAGACAGGAGCAAUGGGCAGGGUUUGCAGGGAAUGAGGAGCGUGGGUCUGUGUGCACCCUGGGAAGGGGCUCGUAACCAAGCACACAGUACUGGAACCUGCUGUGUGGUUGUUUGCAGCUGGAAAAAUGCAAUGGAGACAUGAUUCCUCAUGUAAUUCUUAGGUUGAAUCAGUUGGACCUAUUCUUUGCUUACUCAUUCAAAACUAACAUUUUAUUCUGUCCCAGCGAGCUGAAGCAGACUGGCUUACUUCUCAUAGGGUGUCCAUCCAGCUGCCUUGAAGACAGCAGAAGGAACUAGAGAUUGUGGUCACAGUUCAGUGACUGAGUGAAGGGAUGAAGGUCAUUCCUCUCACUGAGACAGUCUCUUCAUACUCCCUGUCACCGCUUCUCUGCUCAGUGUUGUUCCUGCUAAUCGGGAUGCUUUGAAAUAGAGAGAGAGGAUAGUGGGAGGUGCAAGAAGAAAGACUGAAUUGAAGGCAGAAGAGAGCACAGUGGGGAUACAGACAGAAAAACAGGCUACGUGCUGAGCACAUUUAAAGGAGCACAGCUGGAACAGUGCUGGAGAGUAACAAAACUAUCUUUCCAUGUGUGUUUGCCUGUUCCCGUGUUAUUUUUCCCCAGUACUGCAUACAGCAUGGUUUCCCCACAAGGUUAAAGAUCACAAUAAUGUUUUAUGUAGGUAGCAGAAUACCCUGCGUGGAGGAAGUGGUACAUGAUUUUACUUAGAGAACAGAGAUUUCAUGGUUUUUAACACAUGCAAGGAAAUUUGUCUACUGGCAUCUGUUGCGGAGAUGGUAUCCCUUUGACACAAGUCAGGAAGCAAAAGCAUCUGUGGCUGUAAGGACAGUGCUUGCAGAAAACACUUGUGCAGAUAUCUUUAUUCAGGUCUGGUUCCCAUGUAGAAAGAGGCAUGUCCUCAGGAUGGCUGCUGAAUGCCAUCAGCACUGGGAGAGAAAAGAACAGAUGUAUGGCUGUAAACCGAGAUGUGAAAAAGCAGGAAUCUGAAGUUAGCUUGAAAGUUAUUUGGGCUGGGGUAUUGGUGGGAAGUGUCAGUGGGCAGCAGCUCAGAACCUGCAGUAACUGCUUGGCUGCCUGGCUCUUUCUUCAGCAAUCUCACUUGAGUGUUUUCAUGUGCAAGCAGAGGACACUGAUCUGCCCUGUCUUCCACACAUGUGCAUUCAUUCAGUGCAGUUACCUGUGUUGCUGUAGUAUACCUGCCCCUUUGGACUUGAGCACAAAUGUAUCAGGUAAAUGCAGGUGGAUGCAGCCACCGGUAAAGAAGUUGGUUUUUUUUUUCAUUGUGAUUGAUGCGUGGAUAGCAACCCUAUCCCAGUCUUACUAUUGGAUCAUCAGUCAAGACUUGAGGACUGCUGAAAGUAUGUCCUCAUCCCUAAGGUGUUGCAGUUCAGUGCUGGACCCGUCCAAGCUGAGACAAACUGAUUUUUGCAUUCAACAAAGCAAUGAUAGGACAAGAGGGCAUGGCCUCAAGUUGUGCCAGGGGAGAUUCAGGCUGGAUAUUAGGAAGAAUUUAUUUCCAGAAAGAGCAAUGAGGCAUUGGCACAGGCUGCCCAGGGAGGUGGUGAAGUCAUCAUCCCUGAAGGUGUUUAAAGAAAAGGCAGAUGUAGCACUUAGGGACAUGGUUUAGUGGGCAGUAUUGAUGGUAGGUGGAUGGUUGGACUAGAUGAUCUUAGAGGUCUUUUCCAACCCUAAUGAACCUGUGAUUCUGUGAAUGCAUGUGGAGUAUAUGACUGGCAGAAAGGACGGAUGUUGGGACGCGAAGCCUGAGUUCAGGUCUGAUACCAAAUGACUCCUGCAAAUUGGGCAGAGUAGGCUUCUGCUCUCUCCAUGCUUAAUUUCCUAACACUGUUUGGAGCUAGUUGGGAGCAGGAGAUAGUGAGCUGUCCAGAAAAACAACCAUUCCAGGUGCCGUGAUGAGUGUGGAGUAUACAGGCAUUGCACAGAAAGCAGUGACAGCAUGGUCUGCAUUAUCUGGUGAGGUGGUACAUCAUCUGCAUACCUGUGUGAUUCUAUAUGUGUGUAUCAGCAGCCUAUUGUUACAACGUGCUUAUGUGGCAAUUCGUUUGUGGAGUGUACCUUGUGCUGGUGUUCCACAGUAUUAAUGUUCUCAAGCAUGGGAAGACAUCUGUCAAGCAAGCACUAGUAAAUACCAUGCAGCUGUACUUUGUCAGGGUUCCAUUUUGCAUUUCCCUCUUUUCUCUACCUCAACACUCCUUCAGAUCACACUGACAUCAGUUGUGAUUAUGGCAAAAGAAGAUAACUCCUGUUAACCCUGUCAGAUGCUUGCAUAAGAUGAAGGCAUUUUCUUAAUGCACUCAUAAUCUAUAACCAGUUGUUUUUAAAGCCAUUUGAGAACCGUACAGAGAAGGCAUUUUGCAUUUGGUCAGUCAGAAGUUGGUAACUGUUUUAGAAGCCUGCUGGAAGGAAGACAUCAAGAAAAGCUUUUGCAAAGCUGUGUUUUCACCUCACAGUGCUUUGCAGAGAUGCAUUCUUGGGUUCGGUUCAUAUGGGUUCAUUUCUCUGACUUUCACUUUGAAUUUUGGAAUCAAAGGCAUUUUAAAAUUUUAGAUCAAACUUAUUAGAAAACACUGUAUCUCACCUGGUUUCAGCUCUUUAAGUAGUGAAAAGCAGUGCCUCCCCUGCUGUGAUCCUGAUACAAAUCUGUAAGUCAUCACGCCAGCGCGUUUGAAGCUGGGCCUAGCACUUCUGUCCAGAGUACAGCGUUGCUCAGAAAGUUCAUGGCUUCACCUUUGAACAGGGUGUUGCAGCGAAACAGGCAGCAGGCCGGAUUUCUGGGUAGAUGGCAAAGACAGCACCCAGCUUUCAUUUUGGGGAUUUUCCUAGCAUAAAGCUGCCCGAGCCAGAAGGCAGUUUGCGGCCACAGAUCCCUGAUUUUGCUCCUUUGAAUCACAGCUGGUGUCCUUUUGGGUGCAUCAGACGUGUUUGCUUCUGUCCUGGAGGCCGACAUUCAGCCAUCAUGGCCGUGGCUAAGGUCUCCAUCCUUGCCAUAUAGACUGGAGUCUGCAGCAGUAGGGCUUAGAACUUGAUACAAGCCUGAAGGGAGAGUUAUGAGCACAGUGACUGACAGCUCACGACUGUCUGAUAUGUCAGACCUCUGAGACCAGGUCUGGGAGGGAGGGUGAAUACAGUACCUGGGGAGCAGUCCCUUCCCUUCCUCCUGCUGGGGGGCAGUGGGGCUGGGCCUGUCCCUGCUGCCCACCCUGCCCUCCAGAGCACAGCUGCCCCUGCGGUUUCCGGGAAUCCCCGCCUGUAUGUGGUUUCUUAACCAGUCCUGCAAAAAUGUAUUUUUUAUUGAAUGUUAUUCUAGCCAUAAAACUUUUAAGCUGUUCAAAUACUUUCCUUUGUGCAGUAGACAUCUGAGACUAUUAGGCAUUAACAAGUAAAUGUACUUUUUUUUUUUCAACUGCUUCAAUCUGCUAAGGAGUUUUCUUUGGACUGAUUCUCCUCUAGUGUUGUACCAGAGGAAACAUUACUGUGAUCUGAUAUCAUAUCUCCUCACUAUCUGUCUCCUCAGAUUGCAGAUGUGGAUGUGUUUUAUGUUGAAUUACAAAGGGACUUUAUUUUGUGGUAACCAGUUAGGUCAAACAGCUCACCCAUGGUCCAGAAGUGCUUAAAGCCCAGAGGUACCGAUGUGAUUCACGGCAGUCCCUCUGUAGAGCCCAUAGAGUGUGGGGUGAGAGCGUGGGCUUCAGUAAAUCUCAGCUGGAAGAUUUUAGGAGGUGAAUUUCACUAUUUCUUGAGCUAUUUAAUAAUGACUAUAAUCCAUUUUUUAACACCUGUCACAGGAGCUUCAUGUCACUGGAGCUGUUGACUUUAAUGUACUUCAUUACUUGUAUAACGGCAUCAUCUGUUGUUGGCAUCCAAUUAAGUGACAAACAGUGAGAAGGAUCCUGCCCCAAACUGUAUGAGACAGGAAGCAAGCAGCAUUCUUGUAGUUGUGCAAACAGUUAAAGCAGUGCCAAAAUUUGCUUAACAUAUUCCGGAUCUUAUUGAAAUGCUUGGCCUAGUAUGGUUAACUAUACACCUGAAUUGGGCUGUAGACGCUUAUUUCAUUGGCCUGAUAUUCCUGUUGGUAUUCCUGUUGAGGGGACUCUUUUCUUGGGGUUUCAGGAAAGCUCCUUGCUGGGGUUGCUGGGAUCAGUUCUGCCCCGACCACCCACAGCCCAGGCAGCAUCGCUCUCAAGUAAGGCUCAUUCCAUAGCAGGUGCCAGAGGCUUGCCCAGGGCAGGCUGCUCUCAGCCUGUGGAAGAAAGCUGUGUAACACCUCUUAAUCUGUACGUAAUGGUUUGGAUAAGGAAACUGGUAAUCUGAAAACAUUUAUCUGGUGAUGCUUUUGAUUCGUAUGCCUGAGUGAAAUAUUGUGAACUGCUCCCAGUCCUGUAAAUGCAAGGCAAUUAGACUAUGAGGUGAAGUAUAAAGAGGAAUUUGAAGAGCACCAUGCCAGUGAUAAAACCCGUAAAACCCUUGCACAUCCAUCACCUGUGUUGUGGAUGCAGUUCUAAUCCCUGUAUUUUAAGAAGGGCAUUGGGGAGUUAAGAGGCAUUACAGUAAAGAUGAUCGUGGGGCUGAGGCAGCUGUUUUGGGGGGAGAUGAGGGGUGGUUGUUGGGCAAGGCAGACCCAAUAGGGCACUUGUGAUUUCAGCCUUCAGCAACAUAGGUAAAGUAGCUCUCUUCUCUGUUGGACAGAAUGACUGGAGGAGAAUUCUUGGGCCUUUUAUUCAUUAUUUACAUGGCUUUUGUGUCUGCUGGCAUAGUGUAGCGUAACCCAGAAUGCGUAAAAUACAGUGAAGUUGAAAUAUGUGUGAAUUUAAUGCCUGAGAAACAUAAAUCAUGUCAUGCAGGUGAGAUGCAUUGACUGAAUCAAAUGCACUGAACUUCAGAGCCAGUCCUUCUUUGGAAGCAUGUUAAGAACUGUCCACCCCACUCUUCUCAGGGCAUUGUUGUGUGCUCUACCAAAUGAGAUUCUCAAUUCUUCUUGGAAAAAAAAAAGAUUUUUGUUUCCUAUUCUGUCUUCGAGUCCAUCUUUGCAAAGAAGCAACAAGUCUCUGAGAGGGGGAGAUGCUGGUGAGGCUUCAUCUAAAUCAGGCAGGUUUAUAAGACCAGGAGGGAAAACACAUUUUCAGACAUGGUCAAACAGAGGAGCUGGAUGAUUUCGUCUUUGUCCAUUCAUAACAAUGACGGAACAGAAACUAAAAGUUGAGCUUAAAAGAGCAAAAGCUUUGGAAAGAAAACUUGCUCAUGGCUUCAGAGCUGGCUUGGAGUAUGUAGGCAGGAAGCCUGGAGCUUUGUAUGGGAGUUUGGUUUAACCCUAUGAAAAACAUCAUGGAAGAGAGCUGUGGGAACUUCAGCAGUUUUCUGCAGAGUUGAACUAGGAAAGCCAGGAUAGGUUUAAGCAUCAAGGCAGGUUUUUUUUUUCCAGGAAAGCAGAGUUCUAAAAUAACACCUCAGAGGUGUUUGUAGCAUUGGAUUUUUCAUUCUUAACUUCUUAUUCAAGAAAAACUUUGAUUGUUAUGUGUAGGAAAUUCAGUGUUUGUAGCUUAUUACUUGUUUUGCAUGUGAACAAUUUCAGUCAACACCUAAAAAUUUGUUUAUGACAGUUUUGCCACCUGUCCAGUGGGAACUGCUUGACUUUUUAACCAGCCAUUGACUUGCAGAACUGCUUUCAUAAGAUGCAGAAAGGAUUGGAAGGUGUUUUCCUACAGACAGAUUACAGCAACAUCUUUAAUUUCAAGCCUGUUAGCAGCUGAUAGCCUGUUAUCCCAUAGCCUUUACACAGACCUUGACUCUCAUAACCCUCACAAUUAUUCUUCAUCCCACAAAUGUUAAUAUUUACUAUAUAGUCAAUCUCCAAACCACAGGGAGUCAUUUGCAUGCGUGGUAUCACUUGCACUUCAACUAAAUAAAACCAUUAACCUUUCACUGAUACACUUAGGUCAUAGAAGUCACACUUGUAUGGGUUGUGUAGUUUGGGUUAACGCUGUAACAUUCCCUUCUCACCCUUACAGUACAGCACCUCCUGAGCAUGGCAGCCCUGACACUGAUGCUGAACUUGUGUGCCCUGUCCCAGGCGGGGACUGGCACUGGAGCAGGUCGCACUGAGCCAUAAUUGUAAAUUCUCUGGGGCUGGAGUCACCAGCCAGUAAUCCUCUAUGCACAGGCUCCCCCUUAUGGAAAUGAAAGAUACUAAACAAUGCUUUUUUCCUCUUGUCUCAGACAAAACUAAUAGUUUAUUACUGUGAAGACACUUCUCAAGCCUGCAGUAGUACUUUUCAACUUAAAGUUUUAAGUUCGGGUGAUGAUGGAAUGGAUGUAGGCUCACCGUGGCAAACAUGAAUGAUGAUGACACAUGUAUGUGUUUAUACUCAAAGUGAUAAGAGCUCCUUUGGAGGCUGGAAUUUCUUGUGAUUUCCUGAUGGUGAAGAAGGGAACAGGAGCUCUUCAGAUGUUAAGAGAUGCUGCAGAGUAAAUCCUAGCUGUAGCCUCCUCUGUCUUCAGAGGAGCAAAAGAAAGUCAGUGGGAUCAAAUAAUUUAGUUCUGGAAUAGUUAUAUUUUGAUGCUCUACAGUGGAUAUUUUGGAUUGGAUCCUGAUGGAUCAGAACCAUUGGAAGAGUUAGAAAUAGACACCGUGGAUUUUUCCCUUAGCCAAUUCUAGUAAAAAGUUUCAAGUUGUUCCAGUGAGACACACCAUGUGUAGAUUUAGAUAUGCUCUUGCCUUCUUACUUUUAUUUUGCGUGAAAGAUGGUUCCCAGCUUCAUGAAAGCUAUGUGAGAGCAGUUACAGUUCUGUGCUCAGCCUAUUCUGACACUCUAGCACAUGUGCAUGACAACAGUAGGCUAGACAGAGCUUUGGAUUUGCUCAGUGGGGCAGUUCUUGUGACUGCAGGAUAUCUCCUAGUGCCAAAGUACCAUAGUUGGAGCUGAUGCUGAUCAGCAUCAUCUCACUGAUGUCCUGUGUUCUGGUGAGAGGCUCUGAUAGCUUGUGUGAGUUGGGGUGACAGAGCAGUUCUUUCUUUUGCGAGACCAACUUUCUGUUGGCGUAAGCCAUAUAAAUGGGUGUUGUUCAGACAACACCUGAAGGGUCUGCCUGGCUCCCUAACAUCAAAAUCACAUGGGGAGAUUGCUUAAACAUUUAAAGUACUGUUGAAGGUACAUUAUUAGUAACAACAAAUAGUAUUGUUAGUUUUUAUAGUGCUAGUAUUAAUAGUAUCAAACACAUUUAGAAUAUAUUGAAGUUGCUGGUCUGGGCCCUCACCUCACAGAUGAAGUCAUUCCUGUACCAGAGAGAACAGGAGGCACACGUGUCCCAGGGCAGGAUCUGAACUGGAGAGGCACAUACUGGUUUUGCUUUUUUUUCCCCCCCCAUUUUUAGAUUUUAUUAGUAUUAUUGAUUUGUAUUGUUCUUCUAACUUGUUUAUUACCCAGUUUUGAAACCAAGAUCCUAGUGGAGCUACUGGAGUGGACUUUCAUGCUGAACUUGAGUCCUUCUUCCCAUCCAAACUAAAGUAUUCUGCAAGGCAUGGCUCACACAGUGCUUGCAGCCUUUCUGCUUUGCCCGUGUGCUGAAUGAGGUUCAGGCCUUUGUGGGCUCAAUGUGAUGCCCUCCUGUGUUCCUGGUCUCAUUUCAAUGCUGCUAGGGAAAUUGAUUUUAAUUACACAUGCUGCUGAUCACCUAAUCUCAUAAGGGGACAUGGCUGAGAAAUAAAGAACCCAGAAAAAGGAAACUAAUUUAUGCACUCUGGGGACAGGAGGAGUGAUUUGAGUGGUGCAUGGGAAGAGGAGUGCUGGAGAGCAAAAAGAAGCUGAGAUGAUGGAUGGUGUGAUUAAAAACUCUGAUGUUUCUCAGUACAUUCUCCCUUCAUUUGCUUAAAGCAAACACCAUUUCAGUUUUCUCUGGCGGCAUCUUUGGGUUUUAUUUUAUGCAGUCAUUUUUAAUGUACUUUGCUAUCUGGCCUUGCAGUUGUAGGCUGUGUUCUGCAAACCCAACUGAACCAAACUGACAGUGGAGGGCCCAUUGCCUGAGCAGCACAGUUCCAGUUUUGUGUUUGAGAUCAGUUCUCAAGCACAGGGAUUGCACUGCAAAGGCACUCGGGGGGACCGUGAUGCCACCCAGACAAGUCUCAGUGUGCCCAGUUUCUCCGUCCCUCAGCGGUCCUCUCUGCCCAGCACCGAGCAAAGGCCGUGCCCGCAGCCUGCCAGGCUGCCGUAUGCCCGAGUCCCUCCCCGGGGCUGAGGCCUGUGCUGGGCCUCACCCCGCGGGGCAGAGCCGUUCCCUCUGGGGAGAGCGGAGGGGACCCGGCAGGCCCAGGGCAGACUUAGGAGUGCUGACAGUGGAGAGGCGCUGACUGCUUUGGCUUUAGAAAAGAGCUUUAGGUCUUUAUUAUCGUUACAAUUUGGUACUGUCCUUUUGAAUUGCUUCUUGUCCUGGUUUGACACAAAAGUCCCAGUGGAGCAGCUGGAAUGGACCUUCAUGCUGAACGCGAGUCCUUCUUCCUGUCCAAACCAAAGUCUUCUGCUUCUCCAAUGGAAGCUGCCUCUGGACCUUCUCUGGUGCUGCCUGGAGGCUGCAGGAGCUCGGUGCCGUCUGCUGGGCUCCUCCCAUUGUCCCGGCACAGCAGCUGACAGGACAUCAGUCCCAGUGCUGCCCUCUUCUUCAGGGCUCCCCUGGAGGCUGCACGGAGGUCAGGGCUGUCCGCUGGACUCCUCCCAUUGUCCCUGUGAGGAAGCAUAGAGGACACCAUUGCCAGCCAUGCCUUAUUCCUCAGGGCUCCCCUGGAGGCCCCAGGGAGCUCAGGGCCAUCCACUGGACUCCUGUUAUCCCAGUGCAGAAGCUUAGAGGACUCCAGUCCCCGUUCUACCCUCUUCCUGAGGUCUCACCUGGAGGCCGUGGGGAGCUCAGGGCUGUCCACUGGACUCUUUUCAUUGUCUUGGUGCAGAAGCAAAGAGGACACCAAUCCCAGUCCUGCCCUGUAAUGGAAAUGCUAAGUCAUGGCCUGAAGUAGUGAUUGAGCACAUGGUGAGAAGGCAGGGCCAUCCCAGGGGAGCUCAGGUGCAAGCAAUGCUCCUGAGUGACUGGAAGGGGUCAAGCCAGGAUCCACCCCUUCCCAGACCUCACUUAAGGGUUGGCAGUGGAGGUAAGAGCAUCUCUUCCCUGAGAUCCCUGCCUUACCUGAGGCCUUCCAAAGAUGAAAACUGCAAGCUCACCAGGAUGCUCUCCUGUUGAAAACUGCCAACCACUGCACACACCUGCAGCCACUCUACCCUUCUCCAUUUGGACUUUGGACCAUUUGGCUGUUUGCAGCCAAGCUGGGAAGAGGAGUGGAAGUCAUGGAGGCAGCUCCCAGGUUCAUCAGAACAGGUCCCACUGCAGAUGAGAUGCCAGAGAGAGCCCAUGGAGGCAGGGAGGAGUGAGAGAGCACAGCUGUGACAGCAGCCAGGGAGCAGCUUGGCACAGUGCUGGGCUUCACCGAGCCUGCACCGCAUCACCGCACUGCUUCCCUUCUCAGUGUCUUUCUGAAUGCAUGUUGAAAUAGAAGGCAAGUUCUGGACAGAGGCACAUCUUUCAGUACGCCUGUGCAGAGGCCAGUGUAACACACUUCUGAUAUCAGGUGACUGCUGUAAUAAGCAGCUAUACGGACUGCUGGCCCGAUCCAUUCUCAUACAACAGGAAUUCUCCUGCUUUGUCUUUUUUUAAUCAGUAAUUCAAAAAGAUACUUCCCUGGAAUUGCUGUAAUGGCUGAAAAUGACUGAUCUGUCCUCGUCAGUAUUUCUUUUCCUCCUCCUUUCUGAACGCUUCUCCCUGUUGUGCUGGUAAUGCUCGUCUGUAUGCAGCUUUCCUUACAUUUUGGCAGACAUGGGGAAUUUCAGCAGCAGUAAAUUUGAAUGGAUAGAAUUAAGAAGGAAGACAGCUUUCUGGAACACAGAGCAAGGCUUUGGGUUUUUUUUUUUGUUUUUUUUUUUUCCCUAGAUAUAUCAUCUAUGAAUUCUCACCUGGGACUGCUUUUAUAUAGAAAAAAAUCAUGUGCCUAAAUGUCUAUUGGCUGCACCUGGAAUUGAAAGUAGCCUUCUGCUUCAGUCGUAUUUCUUAGUUGCCUGUCCCUGGAAGGAGCUCUCAGGAUCAAACUUUGACUUGUCAGAUUUUAUUCCUCUGGCUUUUUGCUCCCUGUGAACAUGAUAUUCCGUAACUUGUUGUAGUAAGCAGUUGGACUAGGCAUGAAGUACCCAUUUCUCUCUGUUGUCUAGCAGUGUAAAAUAGCUUGAUUCUGGGUGCAAGUCGGUGUAAAUCCACUUUUGUGGGGUCACACUGAUCUGUGCCAGCAGAACUGUGAGCUGAGCCAUCCCCUUGCACCCUGAGCCAGGCCUGCUUCCUGCCUCCAGCAUGUGCUCCUUUGUUCCCUGGGCUUCCUUCAGAUCAUCCUUCUUACCGGGGUAACCAUAUACUUCCCUGUGUGCCGUGCAGGAGGAAUGCUGUGGGCAGCUUUCUAAUCCCUGAGCAAAGCUGGAGGCAGCACCUAGUAUAUCACAUCUCCAUGCACUAAACGCGGCCUGCUCUGCGUGGCCCCUCUAGGCCUGGCCUGCCCGCUUGACAUCUCCUCAACCUGGGGGCAUCUCUCACUCCCCGGAGCCCCUGCUGUACCCCAGCACACCUUACGUUAGGAAUACUUUCCAGAUGUUUGUCUUAAAUUGGACUCUGCUGGCUUCCUCCCUGUUUCUCCUAGCUGAACCCAGUUGCUUUGAGGAGGCUUUUCAACGGCAGUGCUUUUAAGCCAAAGCAUUGCAGGCUGGUAGCACCACAGGAAGUAUUUUCACCAGUUCUGAAACAAUUAGUGACUACAGGAGUCCAGAAGGCCCACGGGAGGAGUUGGCAUCCAUGAGGGCUUGCAGCCUGCAGAGACGGGCCUUCCUCCCGCAGCACUCCUCCUCUCACCAGGCUCCUGGGCCCAGUGUGGUGUGCAGCAAUGCCGUGCCUCUUCGGGUCCUUGUCCUCAUUUACAGCCCUGUGCAGCAGUGGGUCCUGGAGACAUAAAGCAGCCUCAUGCCACCAAUAUGAGCUGGGUCCCGUGCAUGUCAGGACCGUGCUGCUGUGAGGCCUAUGGUGG